CCUACGGGGGGCAGCAGUAGGGAAUAUUGCGCAAUGGGCGAAAGCCUGACGCAGCGACGCCGCGUGAGCGAUGAAGGCCUUCGGGUCGUAAAGCUCUGUCCUCAGGGAAGAAGGAAGUGACGGUACCUGAGGAGGAAGCCACGGCUAACUACGUGCCAGCAGCCGCGGUAAUACGUAGGUGGCAAGCGUUGUCCGGAAUUACUGGGUGUAAAGGGCGUGUAGGCGGGAAGGCAAGUCAGAUGUGAAAGCCCAUGGCUUAACUGUGGAAUUGCAUCUGAAACUGUUUUUCUUGAGUGCUGGAGAGGAAAGUGGAAUUCCUAGUGUAGCGGUGAAAUGCGUAGAGAUUAGGAGGAACACCAGUGGCGAAGGCGGCUUUCUGGACAGUAACUGACGCUGAGGCGCGAAAGCGUGGGGAGCAAACAGGAUUAGAUACCCUAGUAGUC
rnacentral:rRNA from 1 species